CCACUCUGCUCUAGCUAAGUAGUCAGCCUUGGCGUGAGGGCCGUGGCGGCCCGGUCCAAAAAGGACACGUUCGCCGAGCCAGGCCCGAGGCGUGGGACGGGAGCGAUGCGGGGAGGAGCCCGCCGUGCGUGGGCCUGGGUUCGGCCGCCUUCCCUCGGCCUUAGGACGGCCUGGGGAAGCGAGAUGCAGUGUCAAGCAAGUGGCUGGGUCGUUUUGGAAAACGGUGUUAUAAUACUGCAGGAUCUAAUGAACAACAGAUGGGGGUUAAUGUGUAAUGAUACAACAUCUGAACUGAAGAUGUGAAAGAAGCCAUCAGAAGGCUUCCUGACCUAAACAGCAGACUCUUUAGCAUUGAGAGAGCCCUGGACAUGACUGUGAAGCAUCAGAUCUUGCCUAAGGAGCAGUGGACGAAGUAUGAGGAGUUAGAAGAGGUUUCAUAUGUCUAUCAAUCUGAUACUCAGGAUGCAGUUUCAGAAGCAGAGAAACACACUCACUGGGGCAGUACAUUUGUGUUCUCCAAGUCACACCACAUAAAUAGCAUUUCAGCAGCAAAAUGAGGUUAGCAGAAAACUAACUGUAGGUUCUAUAUUAAAGAAUAACAUGGUGAAACUUGGAGCUGCAGUGACUUCUAAAGUCACUAAGCUAUGCUAGUAUGGAAGACCUGAGCUAGAAUCCAGGAGUCUGCCUCGUGGGUUGCUAUUAUUUCCCUGUACUCUGGUUCCUACUCUAAUAAGAUUUAUUUCUGUGAAGUCCACUGAGUGAUCUUCCUGCUCCUGGAAUGGUUUGAACCCUGUCCUUGGACCUCAUUGGCAGCAGACAAGCCUAUGGGCUUUGCUUCUUCCCUGGUACUCUUCCUACCCUAUGCUGUGUGAUCCUCAUGAGGCUUUGUGUUUAAAAAGCACUUCAGGAGCUUGGAGUGUGUUUUCUUAAGUUACGAGCAAAAGGUAAUUCCUUGCAGUAGGUUUCAUUUGUGGUUUAUGACCUGUUAUUUUCUUCUCCAUUCUUUAGGACAAAUUCUCCCUUGAAUCCUCUCUGAGAAGUUAUUUGGGAAGAAGAGAGAAAAAUGGGCGAAGAGGUGAUCUUUUUUUUACUCGAGAUCCUGAUGUGCCUGGUCCAGCAUAUUUUUAUGAAGUUGGUUCAACCUGAAUCACAAUUUAAGAAUUAUUUUCUCUGCAAGUAAUUUUAAAUAAAUGCCUAUUAUAACCAUUGUUGGACUGUCUG
rnacentral:lncRNA from 1 species